ACAGAUCAAGUUUUGGUGGUUGAGGUCAUGUGCAGAUUUAUUUUGAAGAAUGGAGAAAGGGCUGGAGUGUGAACAGUGACACCACCCUGACUGAGAACUACCAGAGAUCUCGAAAAGAUCUGAAGAGGGUCUGCAGAACAGACUGAAAACAGUAGUUGGUAGUAAAAAGUUGUGAAGCAGGCGGCGUCUGUUUAUUAAUUAUUCCAUCAAGAAAGUUGUUCACCCUCUCACAGCAGACACAGCAAGGUACAAGAACUGCACCACAGAAAAAUAACGUUUUGCCUUUCAAGAGUGCAGCCCUCUGUUAGAUGAUUUGAUGUGAAAGCGAUAGAGGAGGUUACCUGGUGGUGAGAAAUCUAUGGAGGAAACAGAAAGAUAUGGGUGGAUCCUUGUUGGUCUAGUUUACUUUCAAGAGGUCAUAGGUGCUGGGUAAUGUACUCAAGCAUCUGUCAACUACAUCAGCCUUGUGACUGAAAUUUGUAAAUUGUUAGCCAAGUAAUUAUCCUACAUGCAAAUUUUUUGUAUUUUAAUAAAUUUCAAGGAACUAUUUGUGCAGAAAGAAGUCAGUGUGUGGACAGUGUUAUUCCACAUAAAUCCCAGUUUUUUUUCU